ACAAUAGUCCAAAUAAAAUAUAACUAAUGGUCCAAAUAGAAAAUAAAUAAUAAAUGGAUGUCCGCAUCACCAAGUCUGGUGGAUGACAAAUGCCCGCCUGAUCAGAGCGUGAUUAACAGCUCUAUGGCUCCUGUUAGGGGUCAUCAUGGCAGUAGAGGAUCGUUCUCUGCUGGGUUUACUUGGUUGGGAUGGUCAGGCGGUUGUCUGACAGGCC
rnacentral:snoRNA from 1 species